UACAGAGGGUGCGAGCGUUGUUCGGAAUUAUUGGGCGUAAAGGGCGCGUAGGCGGCGCCACAAGUCACUUGUGAAAACUCUGGGCUCAACUCAGAGCCUGCAAGCGAAACUGUGGUGCUGGAGUAUGGGAGAGGUGCGUGGAAUUCCCGGUGUAGCGGUGAAAUGCGUAGAUAUCGGGGAGGAACACCUGUGGCGAAAGCGGCGCACUGGACCAUAACUGACGCUGAGGCGCGAAAGCUAGGGGGAGCAAACAGG
rnacentral:rRNA from 1 species